rnacentral:tRNA from 1 species
GACAAUGUGUCCGAGUGGUUAAGGAGAUAGACUUGAAAUCUAUUGGGUUUACCCGCACAGGUUCAAAUCCUGUCGUUGUCG